CCGAUUGCGCUAGCUUCAUCCAGCUAAAACAGAGCUGAGUAACAAUUUUCAGUUUGGACCGGAGGGUUGAAACGAUGGGAAUGAAGAAACGGAGGAAGAGGAGGAGCUGCUGUUGCCUUCAGCUCCAUGAAUGAAUCAAUGAACGACACCUACCUCUGGUCCGAUGUUAGCGAGGAAUUUCAUCAUGAAGCCGUGCCAGUUGCUGCUGUAAAGGAGAAGCGUUGCAGUUUCUCCUCGCUUCUCAGCAGUGUGGACCUUCCCAGCGUGCAGGAGCUGCAGACAGAAAAAGUGAGACGCAGUUCAGACAGCUGACGUCGGUGACAUGGCCCAUAACCUGCUGAGUCACAGGGACGCUCCUGAUCAACCUCCUAUU